CUCUAGUUUCUGUGGAUGGUUCCUCUUCCUGGGUUUCACCCACUGCUCCUGAUUUUCUUCAUAGCCCAGAUCAAGUAACUUUUCCAGAUAGUACUUGAUCUUCUCAUCACAUUCAAAAGUUUGUGAAGAUGUUCUAGGAUUAAUGGGUGCCUCCUUGAGAAUCUUGCGGAGUCAUUCUUCAAUAUCUUCCUUCUCCUUUUCUCUUUCUGCUUUCUUCUCUUCGCCUCUCUUAUGCUCAUUAUGAAUCCUUUCCCCCUCUUCGUCCUCACUACUUCUGAUCUCAAUUGUUUCCUCCUCUGGCUUCCUUUUUCCUCCUAUUGUAAC
rnacentral:lncRNA from 1 species